rnacentral:rRNA from 1 species
AACCUACCCAGAACUGGGGGAUAGCCCGCCGAAAGGCGGAUUAAUACCGCAUAAGCUUUGCUCUUGGCAUCAGGAGUUCAGUAAAGAUUUAUUGGUUUUGGAUGGGGUUGCGUGCCAUUAGCUAGUUGGUGAGGUAACGGCUCACCAAGGCGACGAUGGCUAGGGGAGCUGAGAGGCUGGUCCCCCACACGGGCACUGAGAUACGGGCCCGACUCCUACGGGAGGCAGCAGUAGGGAAUAUUGGGCAAUGGUCGAGAGACUGACCCAGCCAUGCCGCGUGCAG